UCUGAUCUCAAAUCAGGUAGGACUACCCGCUGAACUUAAGCAUAUCAAUAAGCGGAGGAAAAGAAACUAACAAGGAUUCCCCUAGUAACGGCGAGUGAAGCGGGAAGAGCUCAAAUUUAAAAUCUGGCGGUGUAUUCCGUCCGAGUUGUAGUCUAGAGAA
rnacentral:rRNA from 1 species